GUCUUAUUAUAUGUUAAUGCUGUAUAUCCAGCAGUGCGUAAUGAUGUCUCUCUGCAGAGCAAGGCUCAUCUGUACUGGCUGUGGUCCUGCCCAUCAUCUUGAUUCUACUUGUGUUGGUAUUCUUUCUAUCAUUCAUGUUGUGGCAUCGCAUGAUAGGCAAGAAAGACCAGAGUCAAUCCAUCUCAAGUGUGCAUAAUCCCAGUGACACCAGUUGAUUUGCUACAAGGUGGUAGACCUUGAAUCAGAGACAAAGUAUCAACUGAAGAGGGGAGAAAAGAGAGCAAUACAGAACAAAAGUCUAUCUUUCUGCUACAUAGAGAAGGUCUGAUGUGGAGAGUCAACUGGAAGAAGCAACUCAUUCUUCAGGAGAUAGAAAUCAUCCUGACCAGUUCACAAAGACCCCAGAGGUUCCUCCGGUGUCAGAGAAAGUGCUAGAAGAGGACAGGUCUGAGAACCAGGACAGAGGAGACACACCUUAACUGGACCAGAACCUCCAGAGGACAAACUACCAUGACCCGCAGAGCGAACAAGAGGAAGAAGAAAUACUAGACCUGCACAUGAAGCCCAACAAGGAGAGACACUAGGACCUGUACACAGUAGACCACAAAUACAAGAACCAGACAAAUCAACACAUGCAGGAGUCCAGCCAGGAGAUUCAGUCAGGGGAACCAGCCAGGGGAGUAAAGAGAGAAUAAUUAUGUGGAAGAAUAAGAGGAAGUAAUAAAGAGACAGACGAGGAGAAAUGGGAACAAAAUACAGAGGGGGACAUGAACGAGAGAUGAAGGACAGGAGUAGAAGGAAUCAGACACAGAGAAUGAAGGAGUUGAUACCAACCAAACAUCCACCCAGAAUGAUGAGAUGGAUGAGACGCAUAUAAUAAACCCCAAUGAGCAGCACAUUGCCCAGACUACACUACAGAGACAGUCCUGUGAAUCACCAGCAUCCCCAGAUAGCAAAGAAAAAAUAAAGGACAUGAGUCACCCAUCCCAGACCCCAAUGAGCAGCACAUUACCCAUAAUACACCACAGAGGCUGUCCAGUGACUCCGCAGAAGACCCAGAAAGAAUUGAUGACACACCCGCCCCAGACCCCAAGGAGCAGCACAUUAUCCACAGUCCGCUACAGGCGCAGUCCAGUGACUCCCUUUGAUGACCGCCAAGAGAAGGGGCACAGAGAAAGUAAAAAUAAAUGCAUCCUUCAGUAAUUUGCAAUUCACUUGUAUUGAAGAUUAUCCACAAACUGUAACACUUCUUUGUACCAGUAGGGGUCAGUGUUCUUUAGCGUUUCCAUCUACUACUUCCUUUGCAGGGUCCAUUUUUUUAUUUCAGUGUGGUAAGACUGUUUUUGUGACAGUUGUUGUGAAUACAUACAUUACAACAAAAAUAUACAAAUAUGUAUGUUUGUGAUGGUGAUCCUGUUUUGAGCUGUGGCAAAUUUCUUUAUAAACCAAUGGCAAAUUUGACUGUUUAUUUUAGAGAGGUUUUCCACAGCUUAUUACACUUACAUAUAGUAAUUUAGCAGACGCUCUUAUCCAGAGAGACUUACUUUCGACACAUGUACUUAUUGUAAGUGAAUCAACUAUGCAUCAGUCAUCGCAAGUAAGACACAAUCAGAUGAACAACAGCUGCUCAAUGAUUAUGACCCCUUGAAGAUACAGCCAGUUCAUUGUUGGUUCACUAAUUGAUUUUGCCUUGCAGAUAAUGCAUUUUUGUUUGAGUUUCAUACCAAAUACUCAUACUGACACAGUACUUUCUUAGUCUAGUAUUUACUUAGCAUGAUAAUUCACCUUCCUAAUCCACAGAUUGGCUCCUACAAACAAUACACAAAGACAAACUGCAUCUCAGUAGCUAAUGAAAAGAAUACUCAGCGCACAAAAAAGAACAAGAGAACAAGCUAAUCCUAAACCAAAUGCCAGGCUGGUCUAGAUUUCCAAAGGGAAUAGGUAUCUUUAUCGGUCAGACCUGGUUAGUUUAACCCCAGAGUCAGAGAGGGGCCUCUGAUCUGCUACCAGCUGACCUGUGGGUCCAGAGCACCAGAGGAGAAUGAACACUAUCGGUUUCUG
rnacentral:lncRNA from 1 species